UACGUAGGGCGCAAGCGUUGUUCGGAUUUACUGGGCGUAAAGGGCGCGUAGGCGGCGUGGUAAGUCAGUUGUGAAAUCUCCGAGCUUAACUCGGAACGGCCAACUGAUACUGCUGUGCUAGAGUGCAGAAGGGGCAAUCAGAAUUCUUGGUGUAGCGGUGAAAUGCGUAGAUAUCAAGAGGAACACCUGAGGUGAAGACGGGUUGCUGGGCUGACACUGACGCUGAGGCGCGAAAGCCAGGGGAGCAAACGGG
rnacentral:rRNA from 1 species